AAAGGUACUCCGGGGAUAACAGGCUGAUACCGCCCAAGAGUUCAUAUCGACGGCGGUGUUUGGCACCUCGAUGUCGGCUCAUCACAUCCUGGGGCUGAAGUAGGUCCCAAGGGUAUGGCUGUUCGCCUUUAAAGUGGUACGCGAGCUGGGUUUAGAACGUCGUGAGACAGUUCGGUCCCUAUCUGCCGUGGGCGCUGGAGAAUUGAGGGGGG
rnacentral:rRNA from 1 species